GUUGCCCCAUUAGCUCAGUUGGUUAGAGCGUCGUGCUAAUAACGCGAAGGUCACAGGUUCGAAACCUGUAUAUUACU